GGAAAGAGGCCGGCUUAAAAAUGAUUACAAGAGUCUGCACAAGCAUAACAGGCAGUGACCAGGAGAAUGAGAUGUUCCAGGUGGGAGGUGGAGACAGAAUUGAGAAGAUUCAGUGACAACUGACCGUGGGAAAGGGUGUGAGAUGUGGGAAAGACGACGGCACUUUUGUACCAAGACGACCAUCCACAGAGCCAGGAAAUUCCCAGGUACAAGGAUGCCUCCCAUGGAAGACCUGUUUCUCGCUGUGUUCUCCAACAAGUCCUCAUUCUGGGGAUUCCGAGCAGGAAAUCUGCCUCCACUGCGAAGGGUCAUUCUGAAAAGAUUUACUCCGAUGAGAGGUUUUUGUUUUUUUUUUUUUUAACUUUUCCUGGUCAUUGAUUUGGAAGAGUUUUCUGUAAUAAAAAUAUUUUUCUAAGGAUUUCAGAAAAGCCAGCGAUGCAGGCCACCCCACUGAGCCUCAGAACUGGCAGGGAGCGGGGAGCCCAGCACCACCUCC
rnacentral:lncRNA from 9 species